rnacentral:rRNA from 1 species
AGUGAACGCUGGCGGUAGGCCUAACACAUGCCAGUCGAACGGCAGCACAGUAAGAGCUUGCUCUUACGGGUGGCGAGUGGCGGACGGGUGAGGAAUACAUCGGAAUCUACUUUUUCGUGGGGGAUAACGUAGGGAAACUUACGCUAAUACCGCAUACGACCUACGGGUGAAAGCAGGGGAUCUUCGGACCUUGCGCGAUUGAAUGAGCCGAUGUCGGAUUAGCGAGUUGGCGGGGUAAAGGCCCACCAAGGCGACGAUCCGUAGCUGGUCUGAGAGGAUGAUCAGCCACACUGGAACUGAGACACGGUCCAGGGUCCUACGGGAGGCAGCAGCGGGGAAUAUUGGACAAUGGGCGCAAGCCUGAUCCAGCCAUACCGCGUGGGUGAAGAAGGCCUGCGGGUUGUAAAGCCCUUUUGUUGGGAAAGAAAAGCAGCAGGUUAAUACCCCGCUGUUCUGACGGUACCCAAAGAAUAAGCACCGGCUAACUUCGUG